rnacentral:rRNA from 1 species
UACGUAGGGGGCAAGCGUUGUCCGGAUUUAUUGGGCGUAAAGAGCGUGUAGGCGGCCUUACAGGUCAGCUGUAAAAACUCGAGGCUCAACCUCGAGACGUCGGUUGAAACCGUAAGGCUAGAGUCCGGAAGAGGAGAGUGGAAUUCCCGGUGUAGCGGUGAAAUGCGCAGAUAUCGGGAAGAACACCCGUGGCGAAGGCGGCUCUCUGGGACGGUACUGACGCUGAGACGCGAAAGCGUGGGGAGCGAACAGG